AAAUUGAAGAGUUUGAUCAUGGCUCAGAUUGAACGCUGGCGGCAGGCCUAACACAUGCAAGUCGAACGGUAACAGGAAGAAGCUUGCUUCUUUGCUGACGAGUGGCGGACGGGUGAGUAAUGUCUGGGAAACUGCCUGAUGGAGGGGGAUAACUACUAGAAACGGUAGCUAAUACCGCAUAACGUCGCAAGACCAAAGAGGGGGACCUUCGGGCCUCUUGCCAUCGGAUGUGCCCAGAUGGGAUUAGCUAGUAGGUGGGGUAACGGCUCACC
rnacentral:rRNA from 1 species